CCAUUGGUUAUGGUUUAGGCAGGUAAUGCUGGCCUCGGUAAUGCUGGCCUCGGAAAUGCUGGUCCUCGGUAAAUUACUGGCCUCGGUAAAUACUGGCCUCGGUAAUACUGGGCUCGGUAAUACUUGGCUCGGUAAUACUGGCCUCGGUAAUGCUGGCCUCAGAACAGCAUGGACCAUAACAUUUGUUUGUUGUUUCCCAUGAGAUUCAGGUGAGUUUUGUAACUGUGCAGUCACAACCUGACUGAUAAUGUUUAAAAAACAACCUGAACUUGUCCAAUAAAAUGUAUUUUUUAAACCGUACAUGCUUAUGGCUGAGUUGAUCCGCUUUCAAUCAAUGAUGCUUCUACACAGGUCUUAGAAGGAACUGAAAUCCCGUGUUCAUUUAGAAGGGACAGAUGUGAUUGGAGCUGAAAUCCCGUGUUCAUUUAGAAGGGAGAGAUGUGAUUGUAUACAAAUGUAAGCGGUUUACAAAUUGACAGCAAGAAGCCCACACAGAUCAUGUUUGACUAAAAUAUAUUUUCAGUCUACAAAUGAUUUGUAAUUAUGUUCCCCCCGAUUUUAAAUAUACUCAAAUAUCAAAAGUAAAAAUAUAAAUCAUUUCAAAUUCCUUAUAUUAAGCAGAGCAGACGGCAAAAUGUUCUUGUUUUUAACAUUUGCGGAUAGCCAGGGGCACACUCCAACAUAAUUGACAAAAGAUGCAUUUGUGUUCAGUGAGUCUGCUAGAUCAGAGGCAGCAGGGAUGACCAGGUGUUCUCCUGAUACCUGUGUGAAUUGGACUGUUUUCCUAACAAGGGAAAAUGUAUGGAGUAAAAAGUACAUGAUUUUCUUUAGGAAUGUAGGUAAGUAAAAGUUUUCAAAAAUGUAUAUACUAGUAUAGGCAAGUUUCUCAUGAAGUCAGAGGCAGGCUGCUGUUGUUGAUCCUAGUUUGUCUGUAACGUCAAAUUAAAAGUGAUCAUACUUAUGUAUUGAUAGUACCGUUUUUUUUUUGCUUCUCAUGUUUGGGUUCCCUGUGUUGCCAAUCUGAAAUGUGAGAGAUAUGGUAGCCUAAUCUUUGGCAUGUUUUAAUCAUUUACACUAUUUAUCGUCAAGGGGUGUAGCGCUUGUUUCGGGCCGCAGAUGGAGCCGGUCGCUGUAGUGGUCUCUUCCCGUUCUGUCUCUCUCCACAGCGGUUCUCUCACUAGCCUGCCGGGGCAGCCGAAUGACACAGACACCAGAUAAACGGAAUAUAUUUUAAACGUUAUCCGGGUGAGCGAGUUAUAAAGCAUAUGGUAUGAAACACCAAGAAGCGGGGGGAGUAAAUGUAGUAUUGUUGUUGUUGACGUUUUGAUAGUUUAAUUAGUUGAUCCGUUAGCAUAGAAGCUAACGGUCAAGCUAGCCUGGGGGGUGUCAUGGCAACAGGACCAACGAGCGGCUGUUCACACAGAGUGGAAACAGGAACACAUCACUUCCUGUUUUUAGGGAAAGGUUGACAAUUAUAUGAUGAAUGUAUCUAUGAGAUAAGAUGAGGAUGUAUACCUUUUUACAAAUAGUUUUUAGUAUGUUGGCUAUUUAGAAUUGUAUAUGAGUAUCCAAGUCAGCUGAAUAAGAGAGAGACAACUGUAUUGAAGAGAGAAGCCCCUGAUAAAUUAUUUUAAAUCUUCAUUGUUUCAGACUCCAUUCAUUCUUCUCACCAUACCCUGUCCAGGUCCCAAG
rnacentral:lncRNA from 1 species